rnacentral:rRNA from 1 species
UACGGAGGGAGCGAGCGUUGUUCGGAAUCACUGGGCGUAAAGCGUGCGUAGGCGGUAUGACAAGUCGGAAGUGAAAGCCCGGGGCUCAACCUCGGAAUUGCUUUCGAAACUGUUAAACUAGAGUCCUGGAGAGGUAAGCGGAAUUCCGAGUGUAGAGGUGAAAUUCGUAGAUAUUCGGAGGAACACCAGUGGCGUAAGCGGCUUACUGGACAGGAACUGACGCUGAGGCACGAAAGCGUGGGGAGCAAACAGG